AUUGAACGCUGGCGGCAGGCCUAACACAUGCAAGUCGAACGAGUGGCGGACGGGUGAGUAAUGUCUGGGACACUGCCUGAUGGCGGGGGAUAACUACUGGCAACGGUCGCUUAUUCCGCAUUCCCUCGUAUGUGCCCAGAUGGGUUUGGCUAGUCGGUGGGGUAAGGGCUCACCUAGGCGAAGAUCCCUGGCUGGUCUGAGAGGAUGACCGGCAACACUGGAACUGAGACACGGUCCAGACGCCUACGGGAGGCAGCAGUGGGGAAUAGUGCACAAUGGGCGCAAGCCUGAUGCAGCAAUGCCGCGUGGAUGAAGAAGGCCUUCGGGUUGUAAAGUACUUUCAGCGGGGAGGCGUUACCCGCAGAAGAAGCACCGGCUAACUCCGUGCCAGCAGCCGCGGUAAUAC
rnacentral:rRNA from 1 species